rnacentral:rRNA from 1 species
CUAACAAGGAUUCCCCUAGUAACGGCGAGUGAAGCGGGAAGAGCUCAAAUUUGUAAUCUGGCGGUCUCAGGCCGUCCGAGUUGUAGUCUGGAGAAGCGUUUUCCGCGCCGGAUCGUGUACAAGUCCCUUGGAACAGGGCGUCAUAGAGGGUGAGAAUCCCGUCUUCGACACGAACUACCGGUGCUCUGUGAUGCGCUCUCAAAGAGUCGAGUUGUUUGGGAAUGCAGCUCAAAACGGGUGGUAAAUUCCAUCUAAAGCUAAAUAUUGGCGAAAGACCGAUAGCGAACAAGUACCGUGAGGGAAAGAUGAAAAGCACUUUGGAAAGAGAGUUAAACAGUACGUGAAAUUGUUGAAAGGGAAACGAUUGAAGUCAGUCGCGUCUUCCGGGACUCAGCCUUGCUUUUUGCCUGGCGCAUUUCCCGGGGUGACGGGCCAGCAUCGAUUUCGGUCGACGGAAAAAGGCAGGGGGAAUGUGGCACCUUCGGGUGUGUUAUAGCCCCCUGUCGCAUGCGUCGACUGGGAUCGAGGAUCGCAGCACGCCUUUAAUGGCCGGGGUUCGCCCACGUAACGUGCUUAGGAUGCUGGCGUAAUGGCUUU